GGUGAGAUGGCCGAGCGGUCCAAGGCGCUAGGUUCAGGAACACCUGAAUUACAUUCCUGUGAAUGUUUCCUAGUCAGAGAAAUCUGGCGUGGGUUCGAAUCCCACUCUCAUCA